UACGUAGGGUCCGAGCGUUGUCCGGAAUUAUUGGGCGUAAAGGGCUCGUAGGCGGUUCGUCACGUCGGGAGUGAAAACUCGGGGCUUAACCCCGAGCCUGCUUCCGAUACGGGCAGACUAGAGGUAGGCAGGGGAGAGCGGAACUCCUGGUGUAGCGGUGGAAUGCGCAGAUAUCAGGAAGAACACCGGUGGCGAAAGGCGGCUCUCUGGGCCUUACCUGACGCUGAGGAGCGAAAGCAUGGGGAGCGAACAGG
rnacentral:rRNA from 1 species